GGUGGAAUCGCCGAGUGGUCUAAGGCGAUGGUUUAAAGCACCAGUCCUAAAGAGUGUGCGUUAGAAUCCCACUUCCAUCA
rnacentral:tRNA from 1 species